GACGAACGCUGGCGGCGUGCCUAAUACAUGCAAGUAGAACGCUGAAGGAGGAGCUUGCUUCUCUGGAUGAGUUGCGAACGGGUGAGUAACGCGUAGGUAACCUGCCUGGUAGCGGGGGAUAACUAUUGGAAACGAUAGCUAAUACCGCAUAAGAGUAGAUGUUGCAUGACAUUUGCUUAAAAGGUGCAAUUGCAUCACUACCAGAUGGACCUGCGUUGUAUUAGCUAGUUGGUGGGGUAACGGCUUACCAAGGCGACGAUACAUAGCCGACCUGAGAGGGUGAUCGGCCACACUGGGACUGAGACACGGCCCAGACUCCUACGGGAGGCAGCAGUAGGGAAUCUUCGGCAAUGGACGGAAGUCUGACCGAGCAACGCCGCGUGAGUGAAGAAGGUUUUCGGAUAGUAAAGCUCUGUUGUAAGAGAAGAACGAGUGUGAGAGUGGAAAGUUCACACUGUGACGGUAUCUUACCAGAAAGGGACGGCUAACUACGUG
rnacentral:rRNA from 1 species